rnacentral:rRNA from 1 species
AUGUUUGUAUGGAGAAUCUGGCAUGAGUCCCUGGUCCUAUGUGCUAACCUAGUGAGAAGGGGUAUACCACAGGAGAAAUCAAGUUGUUUCCUAGGCGGCAGAGGAGAGGAGGAUGGCGGGCACCACUUUAUAAAAUGCAAGUGGGUUAAAGAAGUGUGGCGACGGCUGGGCUUGGAGCUGGAACGUAGCCAAAUCGAAUGCAUCAAGGGCGUGCAUGCAAUGCUGGACACUUUGUGGGGAUUAGAUGAGAAGAAAUGGGUGCUCAUUAUUACCCUCUGGUGGCAGUGGUGGAACCCGAGAAAAAAAGUAUGUGAAGGUGAGCUGCCAGUGCAAGUGGCAGAACUAGUCAGAUGCAUCUGA